AGUGGCGGACGGGUGAGUAACGCGUGAGAAUCUGCCUUGGGGUCGGGGACAACCACUGGAAAAGGUGGCUAAUACCGGAUAAGCCGAUUGGUGAAAGAUUUAUUGCCCUAAGAGGAGCUCGCGUCUGAUUAGCUAGUUGGUGAGGUAAGAGCUCACCAAGGCAGCGAUCAGUAGCUGGUCUGAGAGGACGAUCAGCCACACUGGGACUGAGACACGGCCCAGACUCCUACAGGAGGCAGCAGUGGGGAAUUUUCCGCAAUGGGCGAAAGCCUGACGGAGCAAGACCGCGUGAGGGAGGAAGGCUCUUGGGUUGUAAACCUCUUUUCUCAGGGAAGAAGCUCUGACGGUACCUGAGGAAUCAGCCUCGGCUAACUCCGUGCCAGCAGCCGCGGUAAUACGGAGGAGGCAAGCGUUAUCCGGAAUUAUUGGGCGUAAAGCGUCCGCAGGUGGCGAUUCAAGUCUGCUGUCAAAGCACGGGGCUUAACUCCGUAAAGGCAGUGGAAACUGAAUAGCUAGAGUGCCGUAGGGGUAGAGGGAAUUCCCGGUGUAGCGGUGAAAUGCGUAGAGAUCGGGAAGAACAUCGGUGGCGAAAGCGCUCUACUGGACGGCAACUGACACUCAGGGACGAAAGCUAGGGGAGCGAAUGGGAUUAGAUACCCC
rnacentral:rRNA from 1 species